rnacentral:rRNA from 1 species
GACGAACCGUGCGAACGUUGUUCGGAAUCACUGGGCUUAAAGGGCGCGUAGGCGGGCCCCCAAGUCCGGGGUGAAAUCCUCCAGCCCAACUGGAGAAGAGCCUCGGAGACUGGGGGCCUCGAGGAGGGUAGGGGCGUGCGGAACUCUGGGUGGAGCGGUGAAAUGCAUUGAUAUCCAGAGGAACUCCGGUGGCGAAGGCGGCACGCUGGACCCUUUCUGACGCUGAGGCGCGAAAGCCAGGGGAGCAAACGGG